rnacentral:rRNA from 1 species
UACGAAGGGGGCUAGCGUUGCUCGGAAUCACUGGGCGUAAAGGGUGCGUAGGCGGGUCUUUAAGUCAGGGGGGAAAUCCUGGAGCUCAACUCCAGAACUGCCUUCGAUACUGGAAAUCUCGAGUCCGGGAGAGGUGAGUGGAACUCCGAGUGUAGAGGUGAAAUUCGUAGAUAUUCGGAAGAACACCCGUGGCGAAGGCGGUUCUCUGGGACGGUACUGACGCUGAGACGCGAAAGCGUGGGGAGCGAACAGG